UUGGGGGUACAUAUGCAGAUUUGUUAUAUGGGUAUAUUGCGUAACACUGAGGUUUGGGCUUCAGUUGAAUCCAUCAUGUAGUUAGUGAACCUCGUAUGCAAUAGGUAGUUUUUCAACCUUUGCUCCAAUCCUUUCCUUUCCACAUUUGGAGUCCCCAGUGUCUGUUGUUUCCAAGAUUGCCCUUUUAACCAAUGGUCAGAGACUCAAAUGUCCCCUCGUCUACCUAUAGCCAAAUACAGCAAUCCCUUCUAGACACCACUUACCGAUGGCUGUCCAGUGAGCCAUAGGGGCUCGGAGUUAGUUUAGAUUUUAUAAAUGGAGGUGGACUCAUCCCUUCUCUUAUCUGGCACUUCACUCAGGGCAUUUGUUCGAGGCAGCAAGCCAGCAUCAGAGAUAAUCUAUCACUAUAGAAGAGAGGAACAGUGACCAUGCACUUAGCCCCAGUGGCACCUGAUGCCAACCAUUGUGCAAUCUGGUCCUUUGCUCAGACAUGUCUGCUCAAUAAGUCCUUGUAGAAUUCACAGUCAGUUUUACAGCUGCAUUACCUUUGCCCCAAGCAUGGUUAGAGGAAUCAGCAGGUGACGAUCAGCCAGGAGCUACAUAAUUUCUGAGGGGUUUGGUCAUUCUUUGGUUUCUCUUUCACAGGAUACAAGUGAUGCCUUCAAAUUUGAGCUCAGUUUCUUAUGGUCGUUUAGGAGCAUGAGGGUUUCUGCAAUAAUCUACCAGUGAAAUGAUGAUCAAGAUCUUGGAAAGCACUCUACUGGUCAAGCAGAAUAGUUCCUGUCAUCUCCAUUAAGAAUCAGCUUAUUGGCCGGGCGCAGUGGCUCAUGCCUGUAAUCCCAGCACUUUGGGAGGCUGAGGCGGGUGGAUCACGAGGUCAGGAGAUCGAGACCAUCCUGUCUAACAAGGAAUCCUUUCUGGCACUCAAGAGUUUUCAAUUCAAUCCUGAUGAAUGAAUCAUUAUUUGAUACCAGCCUAAGUGAAGACUCUGCCUGGUGACUUUUGCAAGGUGGUUUCUGGCUGCAACAUGGGAAGAUUUGGGAUCAGUGAGAUGGAAGAGAUUUUUCUGGCUACUAGCGUUCCUAAGAAAGAGCUUUAGUGUUUAUCCAGCUAUUGGUAUGCAGACAACUAUACCCUUAUGAGAAACACUAGCAGAGAAGAAGAGUUCUUGACUGGGUCUGGGCCAUGAAACUGACCGGAUAAAAGUGGGAGAAGAAGAGAUGUUGAAGGAGGAGUUUGCUGUUUUCUCAGUCUCCUGAGAAAUUCCAGGCUUGGAGAUAUUUGAGGCAUCUCCUCCCCCCAAACUCAGUUGGACAGAUCAGAAAAAUGAGGUCCAGCAAACUGAAAUGACUUGCUCCAGAACUCACAGACAAUUAAUGACUAGAACCCAGGUCUUCUAACUUCCUACCAAUUAUUGUGAGGAGAGCCCAUAAAGGAGAAAAGGACAAGGGAUGAUCUAUGGAACAUUCAAACUCCUGUCUCUAGUUGCCUUUUUCUGGUUGUUUCUUGGAUAUCACGCACUCUCAUCAGCAGCCUUCCUACUCUUACAGAUUAUCAACACCUGUCCCAAAAUCCUGGGGCCAGCCAUGGUGCUUGGGCUUUUUUUCCCACAUCUAACCAUUCCGCAGCAUAUAACAAAUCCUUGACAAAUUUCCAGUGGAAAAAAAUAGCAGAAACCAUACACCCUCCAUCUGUGAAUUGAUGUGGCCAAGAACAGGCUUAUUUCAAAGGGUGCACCAUAGAAUAGUCGUAAGACUCAACCCCUCCAAGACUAGCUGGUGCUUAUCCCGCCCAUAGGCAGUUAAAAGGACUUUAUUUGCAUCUUAUUCUUUCCAACAGAAAGGCAAACAUUAUUAUUACAAUUCAGUAAAUUUCCAUAAGGAACCCCAUUGAUACAUGUUGUAUAUUUUGGGUUCUUUUGUUUCAUACUGAGCAUACCAACAUUAUAUCAAUAUUAUAUUUAUCUAGCAUUCUCCCAUAUUCAUAGAAAUAGAGAACUCAUCAGCCUUUAAAAAGAACUCAAAUGCACACAAAAUUUCACCCUCUAGAAAAGCAUCAAUGAAAAUGAUUUUGCAAAUAUAUAUACUUUUCAAUAUGUAAGUAUCUACAAAAAAAUUGAUAAUAAUUAAAUACCUGUAAAGUGCCAUGCACUUUACCUGUAUAUCUCAUUUAAUUCUCACAACAACCCUGUGAAGUAAGAAUUACUACGCCCAUUUUAUAGAUGAACUAGCUAGGAGUCAAAGACAUUGAGCCACUUGCCACACAUUUACAGCACGGAGCUACAAAGAUCUGGGACUUGAAUCCAGAUUUUCUAACUCCAGAGCCAAAGCUUUUCUUAAUAUGCCACAGGAGCAAGCACAGGAGCUUGCUCCAAAAGUCAAGUUAAUUUUUAGGAAAGAAUUAGGUAAGCAAAUAUUCAUGAAUUAGAGAAUGUCUUUAAUUUCAGAUCCAAAUCACUUGGUCACUUAAAAAUAAAAGACAAUAAAUCAUAAGGGAUUCUACUUGACUUAUUAUCUAAAGUGAUUAAUAAGAAUGACAUUUCCCCACCAACCCCAAAUGAAAAAAUCAAUUUGGGAAGUUUCCCAAUAAUUUAAACUUGAAACACUAAUCUGAAAAAGAAAAUCUAUAUAUCAAAAGUCUUCAUAGUAUGGCACAAAUAAAACAGAAUCUUAAUUUCCAAUUUCUAUUAAACUGAUUUUUCUUUUAAACUGGAGCCAGAAAGCCAAAAAGCCUUCAAAUCAAUUGAGCCUCUUGCAUUUUAUUUAAGAGGUUUCAUUUUUCAAACCAAAGCUGGGAAGACAAAACAAGCUUAUUUAAUUCACACCCCAGAAUUGUAAUUUCUCUGUUCAAGCCAAUGUCUAAGUGCCUGUAUUAAGGGCUUCCCACUGACCAUAAUGUGUUAAUUCAUCAUUGCACACAAUUUUCCUUUGUACUUUUAAGCUACUCUUCAUUUUCCCCUUGGUUAGGGUUGCCUAUACAACAGAGGACACCCAGUAAAACAUAAAUUUCAGAUAAACAACAAAUAGUCUUUACAUAAGCAUGCCCCCUGCAAUAAUUGAGACAUACUUAUACCCCCAAAAUUAUUUAUCUGAAAUUCACAUUUAACUAGACAUCCUGUAUUUUUAUUUGCUAAAUCUGGCAACCCUAUUCUUGAUCCAUUGUGGGUAUUCCCAGGACUUCACCUCUAAACUAUUAUAUUUUUCAAAUACAUUAUUUGUAUGUUUUGUGGUGUGUAUGUGUGUGUGUGUGCACGCGCGCGUGCCUCUCAGAAUGGAGGUUCUGGAGCAUCUCUCACUCUUGAGACCACAGCCAUCUAUCACUUUGGUUAUCAAUGUGUCCUCUAUCGUAUAUAUAAUUAUGUAUUAUGUUAUAUAUAUAUAUAUAUACAUAAUUUAGUGUGAAACUAGCCAGGACCAUUUUGAAAACGAAAAGUCAGUGGUGGGAGGUGGGAAGGAGUGUGUUGGGAGAAACUUUACCCACCACGUAUUAAAAGGUAUUAUAAAUCUAUACUGAUUAAAACAGUUUGGUUCUAGUAUGUGAGUAGAUAAAUUAACACCACAGAAUAGAGAUUACCCAAUUCUUUACCCCAAAAUAAGUUCUAGAAAUAUAAAGGAGUCAAAUGGAAAAUGCAAUUGUAAAGACACCAAGAGAAAGCAUGGAAUAAUUAUAUGUAGUCUUGAAGUGAAAAUGAUUUUUCUAAGGAAGAUGCAAAAUCCAGGAAGUAAAAAGAAAAAUUUCAUAAAUCUAGCUACAUAUAAUUUUCAAAACUUUUUUCAUGUAGAAAAUAUAAUAAAUGCAGUCAAAAAGCAAUUUAGGGGAACAUCUUCAAUUUAUCUCACUCAGGGUGGACUAAGUUAUUUAAUAUGUAAAAAUCUCUUGCAAAUCAAUAGAAAAAAAGCAAAAUCAUGAAUAGAAAAAUGAGUAAAGGCUAUAAAUGGACAUUUCACUGAAAAACAGCCAUACAAGUUAAUAAACACACAGAAAAAGAGGCUUAACCUCACUGAUGAUUAAGGCAAUGCAAGUUAAAGCAAUAAUGAAACAUCAUUUCCCUUCAUUAUAUUGAAAAAGAUUAAAAGCUAGAUAAUGUGUAGUAUUGAUGGGGAUAGAGAGAUGGGCAUUUCAUAACUUGUAGAUGAGAUUAUAAAUUGGUGCAACGUCUUUGGAGGGCACGAUUUUGCAGUAUCUUUUAAUAUGAAAAAUGUAUUUAUCCUUGACUAAGUAAUUCCCAUUCUAGAAAUGUAUAUUAUGAAAAUACUUGCACAGUAUGCAAAUGUAUACAAGUAUAAGGGUGUCCAUUGCAGUAUUAUUUGUGUUAAUGAAAAAUGGGACUAAGGCAAAUGUCUAUUAUAAGAGAUAGGAUAAAAAAUUUAGUGCAUAUUCAUAUAUUGAAAUAAUAUUGUCAAUUAAAAAAUAAAACUGAUCCACAUGUGUGGAAAUAAAAUUAUUUCCCAAUUUAAUUUGUUGAAAUUUUUAAAAGACUCACAAUGGUGUGCAGGUGAAUGCCCUUUUUUAAUAAGGAAAGAUGCAUAUAUGUACAUAUGUUUGUAUGUGCAGAAGUAGACUGGCUUUUUUAUAUCCUUUUGUACUCUGAAGCUUUCUGUAUGAAUUGCAUGUAUUACUUUUUCAAUAAAAAACCUAA
rnacentral:lncRNA from 1 species